GACGAACGCUGGCGGCGUGCUUAACACAUGCAAGUCGAACGGAAAGGCCCUGCUUUCGUGGGGUGCUCGAGUGGCGAACGGGUGAGUAACACGUGAGUAACCUGCCCUUGACUUUGGGAUAACUUCAGGAAACUGGGGCUAAUACCGGAUAGGAGCUCCUGCUGCAUGGUGGGGGUUGGAAAGUUUCGGCGGGUGGGGAUGGACUCGCGGCUCAUCAGCUUGUUGGUGGGGUAGUGGCUUACCAAGGCUUUGACGGGUAGCCGGCCUGAGAGGGUGACCGGCCACAUUGGGACUGAGAUACGGCCCAGACUCCUACGGGAGGCAGCAGUGGGGAAUAUUACACAAUGGGCGGAAGCCUGAUGCAGCAACGCCGCGUGCGGGAUGACGGCCUUCGGGUUGUAAACCGCUUUCGCCUGUGACGAAGCGUGAGUGACGGUAAUGGGUAAAGAAGCACCGGCUAACUACGUG
rnacentral:rRNA from 1 species